CGACCUCAGAUCAGACAUGGCGACCUGCUGAAUUUAAGCAUAUUAGUCAGUGGAGGAAAAGAAACUAACGAGGAUUCCCUCAGUAACAGCGAGUGAAGUGGGAAAAUCCCAGCACCGAAUCCCCGCCCCACGGUGGAGCACAGGACAUGUGGUGUACAGAAGCCCUCCUUCCCGGUGGCACUCUUGGGGGACCCAAGUCCUUGUGAUCGAGGCCACAGCCCACGGAUGGUGUGAGGCCAGUAGCGGCCCCCCGGCGUGAGGGGCCUGGGGCUUCUCGGAGUCAGGUUGCUUGGGAAUGCAGCCCAAAGCGGGUGGUAAACUACAUCUAAGGCUAAAUACCGUCACGAGACCGAUAGCCAACAAGUACCGUAAGGGAAAGUUGAAAAGAACUUUGAAGAGAGAGUUCAAGGGGGCGUGAAAACAUUAAGAGGUAAACAGGUGGGGCCCGGGCAGUCUGCCCGGAGGAUUCAACCCCUGCCAGUUGCGGUCAGCCGGCGCGGGUUUGGCAGAUCCUCGCCUCCCCCUCCCCUCCAUCCCCCGGGUGAACUUGUCUGCGGGGGCUGGCCGGGGGGGGGUGGGCGCAUUUCCUCCGCGGCAGUGGGACACGACCGGCUCUGGGUCGGCAGGGAGGGCCUCCGGCCGGCAGGUGGCCCAGAGCCGCGUGAAUGGUGUCCGGUGUUACAGCCCCCAGGCAGCAGGUCUGGCUGAAUCCUGGGGCCGAAGGAGAGGACCGCCGCUGCACCUUCCUCCCCCCCCAUCGGCGGAGCCGCUGUCAACCGGGGUGGACUGCACUCAGUGCGCCCUGACCGCGCGGCACUGCUGGGCCGGGCUCACAGGCCGCGCUCGGGCGCCCGGGGUCUGCGGCGAUGUUGGCUACCCACCUGACCUGUCUUGAAAUACGGACCAAGGAGUCUAUCACGUGCGUGAGUCAGGGGCCAUUGGCGAAAGCCCUUGGCUCCAUGGUGAGGGCUGGCGGGCACCAGCUGAGGUGGGAUCCCGGGACGCGUGUCACACCUGGCAGCCCCGGGCGCACCACCGGCCCAUCUCGCCAGCCACCCCCUUGCGGGGCUGGGGAGGUGGAGCGUGAGCGUCCAUGCUAGGACCCAAAAGAUGGUGAACUAUGCCUGGGCAGGAGGAAGCCAGAGGAAACUCUGGUGGAGGUCCGUAGAGGUCCUCACGUGCAAAUCCGUCGUCCGACCCAGGUCUAGGGGCGAAAGACUAAUCGAACCAUCUAGUAGCUGGUUCCUUCCAAAGUUUCCCUCAGGAUAGCUGGCACUCGGCAAUGGGCAGUUUUACCCAGUAAAGGGAAUGAUUAGAGGUCUUGGGGCCGAAACGAUCUCAACCUAUUCUCAAACUUUCAAUGGGUAAGGGGGCCGGCUCGCUGGCGUGGAGCAGCGCCGUGGAAUGCAAGUGCUCAGUGGGCCACUUUUGGUAAGCAGAACUGGCUCUGCAUGAUGAACUGAACGCCGGGUUAAGGCGCCCCAUGCCGAUGCUCAUCAGAGCCCAGAAAAGGUGUUGGUUGAUCAGGACAGCAGGAUGGUGGCCAUGGAAGUCGGAAUCCGCUAAGGAGUGUGUAACAACUCACCUGCCGAAUCAACUAGCCCUGAAAAUGGAUGGAGCUGGAGAGUUGGGCCCGUACCCAGCCGUCGCUGGCAGUGCAAUGCCCAUGGGGGCUAGGCGGCUAUGAGUAGGAGGGCCGCUGCGGUACGCCUUGAAGCCUGGGGCGUGGGCCAGGGUGGAGCCGCUGCAGGUGCAGAUCUUGGUGGUAGUAGCAAAUAUUCAAACGAGAGGUUUGAAGGCCGAAGUGGAGCAGGGUUCCAUGUGAACAGCAGUUGAACAUGGGUCAGUCUGUCCUAAGCGAUAGGCGAGCGCCAUUCUGAAAGGGCAGGCGAUGGCCUCUGUUGCCCUCAGCCAAUGGAAAGAGAGUCGGGUUCAGAUCCCCAAAUCCAGAGUGGCAGAGACGGGCACAGUGAGGCGCCCAGUGCGGUGACACAACCGAUCACGGAGAAGCCAGCAGGAGCCCCGGGGAGAGUUCUCUUUUCUUUGUGAAGGGCUGGGCACCCUGGAACGGGUUCCCCCCCAGAGAGGGGCCCGCGCCUUGGAAAGCGUUGCCGUUCCGGCAGUGUCCGGUGAGCUCUCGCUGGCCCUUGAAAAUGCAGGGGAGAGGGUGUAAGUCUCGAGCCGGGCCGUACCCAUAUCCGCAGCAGGUCUCCAAGGUGAACAGCCUCUGGCAUAUUGGAACAAUGUAGGUAAGGGAAGUUGGCAAGCCGGAUCCGUAACUUCAGGAUAAGGAUUGGCUCUAAGGGCUGGGUCGGUUGGGCUGGGGCACGAAGCGGGGCUGGGCGCUUUUUGGGUCCUCCCCGUGGAUUGUCCCUAUUCCGCAGCCGCUAACAGCUGACUUAAAACUGUUGCAGACCAGGGGAAUCCAACUGUUUAAUUGAAACAAAGCUUUGCAAUGGCUCCAGGGGGGUGUUGACGCCAAGUGAGACCUGCCCAGUGC